UAAGGAAUAUUGGUCAAUGGACGGAAGUCUGAACCAGCCAUGCCGCGUGCAGGAAGACGGCCCUAUGGGUUGUAAACUGCUUUUGCAGGGGAAUAAACCUCGAUACGUGUAUCGAGCUGAAUGUACUCUGAGAAUAAGGAUCGGCUAACUCCGUGCCAGCAGCCGCGGUAAUACGGAGGAUCCAAGCGUUAUCCGGAUUUAUUGGGUUUAAAGGGUGCGUAGGUGGCUUUUUAAGUCAGGGGUGAAAGACGGUAGCUUAACUAUCGCAGUGCCUUUGAUACUGAAGAGCUUGAAUGAACUAGAGGUAGGCGGAAUGUGACAAGUAGCGGUGAAAUGCAUAGAUAUGUCACAGAACACCAAUUGCGAAGGCAGCUUACUAUGGUUUUAUUGACACUGAGGCACGAAAGCGUGGGGAUCAAACA
rnacentral:rRNA from 1 species